rnacentral:rRNA from 1 species
AGAGUUUGAUCCUGGCUCAGGACGAACGCUGGCGGCGUGCCUAACACAUGCAAGUCGAACGAUUCGAUUUCGAACUUCGAUCUUCGAAUUUCGAAUAUCGAAUAGUGGCGGACGGGUGAGUAACGCGUGGGUAACCUACCCAUAAACUCGGGACAACCCUUGGAAACGAGGGCUAAUACCGGAUAAUCUUUGGAAGUGGCAUCACUUCUUAAGAAAAGGUGGCCUCUGUAUAUGCUACCGAUUAUGGAUGGACCCGCGUCUGAUUAGCUAGUUGGUGGGGUAAAGGCCUACCAAGGCGACGAUCAGUAGCCGGCCUGAGAGGGUGAACGGCCACACUGGGACUGAGACACGGCCCAGACUCCUACGGGAGGCAGCAGUGGGGAAUCUUCCGCAAUGGACGAAAGUCUGACGGAGCAACGCCGCGUGUAUGAUGAAGGUCUUCGGAUUGUAAAGUACUGUCUUUGGGGAAGAAUGACGGAUUUGAAAAUAUUGAGUUCGUAUGACGGUACCCAAGGAGGAAGCCCCGGCUAACUACGUGCCAGCAGCCGCGGUAA